rnacentral:rRNA from 1 species
CGAACGCUGGCGGCGUGCCUAAUACAUGCAAGUCGAGCGGAAGACUUCGGUCUUUAGCGGCGGACGGGUGAGUAACACGUAGGUAACCUGCCUCAUCGACUGGGAUAACAUUCGGAAACGGAUGCUAAGACCAGAUAAGAACUUUACUCGCAUGAGUGGAGUUGGAAACAUGGGCUACAUGGCGAUGAGAUGGACCUGCGGCGCAUUAGCUAGUUGGUGAGGUAACGGCUCACCAAGGCGACGAUCAGUAUCUGGUUUGAGAGGAUGAUCAGACACACUGGAACUGAGACACGGUCCAGACUCCUACGGGAGGCAGCAGUGGGGAAUUUUCCGCAAUGGGCGAAAGCCUGACGGAGCAAUCUCGCGUGAGGGAUGACGGCCUAUGGGUUGUAAACCUCUUUUUUCAGGGAGGAACAAAAUGACGUGUACCUGAAGAAUAAGCAUCGGCUAACUCCGUGCCAGCAG